rnacentral:tRNA from 1 species
GCCCGGGUGGCGAAAUGGUAGACGCAGGGGACUUAAAAUCCCCCGGCUGAAAGGCUGUGCGGGUUCGAGUCCCGCCCCGGGCA